UACGAAGGGGCUAGCGUUGCUCGGAAUCACUGGGCGUAAAGCGCACGUAGGCGGCUUCUUAAGUCAGGGUGAAAUCCUGGAGCUCAACUCCAGAACUGCCUUUGAUACUGAGGAGCUUGAGUCCGGGAGAGGUGAGUGGAACUGCGGGUGUAGAGGUGAAAUUCGUAGAUAUUGCAAGAACACCAGUGGCGAAGGCGGAGC
rnacentral:rRNA from 1 species